rnacentral:rRNA from 1 species
AUGGCCACAGCCUAUGAUGAAGACCACUCCAUUUCACCAUCUCAGAAUGACGAUACAGAUGAUAGGAGGAGCACCAUCCCAGCAGCUAGUGCUGAUGAGAAGCCAUUCCCGUUCUUCGGGCUGCUCUGCUACGCUGAUAAGGUGGACUGGCUCCUCAUGGCCUUGGGAACCGUCGGGUCUGCCAUCCAUGGCAUGGCAUUCCCGAUCGGAUAUCUCCUUCUCGGAAAAGCACUUGAUGCCUUCGGAACCAACAUAAAUAAUCAGGAGGCCAUGGUCCAUGCAUUGUACAAGGUGGUUCCGUAUGUGUGGUACAUGGCGGCAGCUACUUUUCCUGCUGGAAUGGUUGAGAUCUCCUGCUGGAUAUACUCGAGUGAGAGGCAGUUAGCACGCAUGCGGCUGGAAUAUCUGAGAUCAGUUCUCAAUCAAGAGGUUGGUGCCUUCGACACAGACUUGACCACUGCAAACAUCAUCACCGGGGUAACCAACCACAUGAAUGUCAUACAAGAUGCAAUUGGUGAGAAGCUUGGUCAUUUCGUCGCAAGCUUCUCCACUUUCUUUGCUGGUAUAAUAAUUGCAUUUGCCAGCUGCUGGGAAGUCGCGAUGCUCUCCUUCCUGGUUAUUCCUCUGAUCCUCGCUAUUGGAGCCACAUAUACGAAAAAGAUGAAUGUCAUAUCAUUGUCACGCAAUGCUAUUGUCUCACAAGCAACAUCUGUCGUAGAACAGACUUUGUCACAUAUCAAGACUGUCUUCUCCUUUGUCGGAGAGAACUGGGCCAUGGAAUCCUUUGUGCAGUGCACAGACAAUCAAUACAAACUAAGCAAGAAGGAGGCGGUGAUAAAGGGAAUAGGGCUGGGCUUGUUCCAAACAGUGACCUUUUGUUCAUGGGCACUGAUGGUUUGGAUUGGGGCAGUUGCAGUAAGCAACCGGGCAGCAACAGGAGGUGGCACGAUAGCUGCCAUCAUGAGCAUCCUCUUUGGCGCAAUAUAA